rnacentral:lncRNA from 1 species
GGAACUUUUGCCUGCAGUCUUCUCUCUGAAGUCUUCUCUGACCUCCCAAGGUCUCUUGGGUCUCUCUCUUGCUGUUCCCCAGACUUUUAGCCCAGAGUUUAUUGUUAGCUGAUAGUGAGUUCCUUCAAGGUCCUAAUCUUAUUCUGUUCAUUUUCAUUUUGUUCUUGCAACUGACUUUGGGCUUCCUUGGAAGAACAGAAGUGACUUGUUAGACUCCUGGGCUCUGCAUGGUGUGGCUCAUUAAUCUCAUACCUUAGUAUUCGCUUCUGCAGGUUUGUGCAGCAGUCCACAGUUGUCGAGGAAGGAAGAAGAGUACAGCCUUAAGUUGAAGAAGGACAUGUUUGCUUCCCUUUCUGCCGAGAUUAUAAGUUUCCUGAGGCCUCCCCAGCCAAGUGGAACUGUCAAGGAUAAGCCAACUACAGGGGAGAGGAAGUGGAUGGAGCUAUUUUUGUGGC